rnacentral:tRNA from 1 species
GGUCGGUUAGCUCAGCUGGUUAGAGCGUCGUACUAAUAAUGCGAAGGUCAUGAGUUCGAUCCUCAUACUGACCA